rnacentral:rRNA from 1 species
CGCAUCUGUGCAUGCAGCAUAUCAAUAAGCGGAGGAAAAGAAACUAACAAGGAUUCCCCUAGUAACGGCGAGUGAAGCGGGAAGAGCUCAAAUUUGAAAUCUUAAAGGGUUUCCCUUUACGAAUUGUAGUUUAAAGAAGUGUUUUCUGUUGAAGUUUUGGUAAAAGUUCUUUGGAAUAGGACAUCAUAGAGGGUGAGAAUCCCGUAUUUGACCAUUAUUUUCAGCUGUGUGAUACACUUUCAAAGAGUCGGAUUGUUUGGGAAUGCAGUCCAAAAUGGGUGGUAAAUUUCAUCUAAAGCUAAAUAUUGGCGAGAGACCGAUAGCGAACAAGUACCGUGAGGGAAAGAUGAAAAGAACUUUGAAAAGAGAGUUAAACAGUACGUGAAAUUGUCAAAAGGGAAGCGUUUGACACCAGUGUCGUUUUUCUGAAAAUCAAUUAAAGAACUGUUUAUGCUAAGUUGUUUAGACUUUAUCAGCUAAUCUGCUUAGUUUUGAGCUUUUCUUUAAUGCACUUUUCAGUUAACAAGUCAACAUCAAUUUCUUUUGCUGUAAAAAAGCUUGAGGAAGGUGGCUUGAGAUUCGUCUUAAGUGUUUAUAGCCUCUUGCCUAUGCAGUCGGAGAGAUUGAGGUCUGCAGCGUAGAUCCUUCGGGGCUAAAUGCAUUUGUGCUAAGUUAUAGCAUUUUAUAGACAACUUGUUGACUAUGAUUUGUCUUGUAGCUUACUCGCUUAUGUUAUUUUACCUACGCUUAGGAUGUUGACGAGACUGUCGAUCUCAUCUAUACAUGACUCUGUGCAUGCAGCAUAUCAAUAAGCGGAGGAAAAGAAACUAACAAGGAUUCCCCUAGUAACGGCGAGUGAAGCGGGAAGAGCUCAAAUUUGAAAUCUUAAAGGGUUUCCCUUUACGAAUUGUAGUUUAAAGAAAUGUUUUCUGUUGAAGGUUUUGGUAAAAGUUCUUUGGAAUAGGACAUCAUAGAGGGUGAGAAUCCCGUAUUUGACCUUUACUUUCAACUUUGUGAUACACUUUCAAAGAGUCGGAUUGUUUGGGAAUGCAGUCCAAAAUGGGUGGUAAAUUUCAUCUAAAGGCUAAAUAUUGGCGAGAGACCGAUAGCGAACAAGUACCGUGAGGGAAAGAUGAAAAGAACUUUGAAAAGAGAGUUAAACAGUACGUGAAAUUGUCAAAAGGGAAGCGUUUGACACCAGUGUUGUUUUUCUGAAAAUCAAUUAAGGAACUGUUUAUGCUAAGUUGUUUAGACUUUAUCAGCUAAUCUGCUUAGUUUUGAGCUUUUCUUUAAUGCACUUUUCAGUUAACAAGUCAACAUCAAUUUCUUUUGCUGUAAAAAAGCUUGAGGAAGGUGGCUUGAGAUUCGUCUUAAGUGUUUAUAGCCUCUUGCCUAUGCAGUCGGAGAGAUUGAGGUCUGCAGCGUAGAUCCUUCGGGGCUAAAUGCAUUUGUGCUAAGUUAUAGCAUUUUAUAGACAACUUGUUGACUAUGAUUUGUCUUGUAGCUUACUCGCUUAUGUUAUUUUACCUACGCUUAGGAUGUUGACGAGACUGUCGAUCUC